GCUUGUCUCAAAGAUUAAGCCAUGCAUGUCUAAGUAUAAACUGCUUAUACUGUGAAACUGCGAAUGGCUCAUUAAAUCAGUUAUAGUUUAUUUGAUGGUACCUCUACUCGGAUAACCGUAGUAAUUCUAGAGCUAAUACGUGCGCAAAUCCCGACUUCUGGAAGGGACGUAUUUAUUAGAUAAAAGGCCAGCCGGGCUCACGCCCGACCUGCGGUGACUCAUGAUAACUUCACGAAUCGCACGGCCUUGUGCCGGCGAUGUUUCAUUCAAAUUUCUGCCCUAUCAGCUUUCGAUGGUAGGAUCGAGGCCUACCAUGGCGUUUACGGGUAACGGAGAAUUAGGGUUCGAUUCCGGAGAGGGAGCCUGAGAGAUGGCUACCACAUCCAAGGAAGGCAGCAGG
rnacentral:rRNA from 1 species